CGCUGGCGGCGCGCCUAAUACAUGCAAGUCGAGCGAGAAGACGUAGCAAUACGUUUGUAAAGCGGCGAACGGGUGAGGAAUACAUGGGUAACCUACCCUCGAGUGGGGAAUAACUAGCGGAAAGGUUAGCUAAUACCGCGUACGCUCCUUGGACUUCGGUUCAGGGAGGAAAGCGAUACCGUGGGUAUCGCGCUCUUGGUUGGGCUCAUGUCCUAUCAGCUUGUUGGUGAGGUAACGGCUCACCAAGGCUUCGACGGGUAGCUGGUCUGAGAGGACGAUCAGCCACACUGGCACUGCGACACGGGCCAGACUCCUACGGGAGGCAGCAGUAAGGAAUAUUGCGCAAUGGGCGAAAGCCUGACGCAGCGACGCCGCGUGGGGGAUGAAGGUCUUCGGAUUGUAAACCCCUUUCGGGAGGGAAGAUGGAACGAGCAAUCGUUCGGACGGCACCUCCAGAAGCAGCCACGGCUAACUUCGUGCCAGCAGCCGCGGUAAUACGAAGGUGGCAAGCGUUAUUCGGAUUUACUGGGCGUACAGGGAGCGUAGGCGGUUCGGUAAGCCCUCUGUGAAAUCUCCAGGCUUAACCUGGAACAGUCGGAGGGGACUGCUGGGCUAGAGGACGGGAGAGGAGCGCGGAAUUCCCGGUGUAGCGGUGAAAUGCGUAGAGAUCGGGAGGAAGGCCGGUGGCGAAGGCGGCGCUCUGGAACGUUUCUGACGCUGAGGCUCGAAAGCGUGGGGAGCAAA
rnacentral:rRNA from 1 species